GCUUGUCUCAAAGAUUAAGCCAUGCAUGUCUAAGUAUAAACGAUUUUAUACGUGAAACUGCGAAUGGCUCAUUAUAUCAGUUAUAGUUUAUUUGAUGGUCUUUGCUACUUGGAUAACCGUAGUAAUUCUAGAGCUAAUACAUGCAUCAACUCCCAACUGCUUGUCGGACGGGAUGUAUUUAUUAGAUUGAAACCAAUGCGGGGCAACCCGGUAUUGUGGUGAAUCAUAAUAACUUUGCGGAUCGCAGACCUCGCGUCGGCGACGAAUCAUUCAAGUUUCUGCCCUAUCAGCUUUGGAUGGUAGGGUAUUGGCCUACCAUGGCUUUAACGGGUAACGGAGAAUUAGGGUUCGAUUCCGGAGAGGGAGCCUGAGAAAUGGCUACCACAUCCAAGGAAGGCAGCAGG
rnacentral:rRNA from 1 species